rnacentral:rRNA from 1 species
GAUGAACGCUAGCUACAGGCUUAACACAUGCGAGUCGAGGGGAAACGACAUCGAAAGCUUGCUUUUGAUGGGCGUCGACCGGCGCACGGGUGAGUAACGCGUAUCCAACCUGCCCACCACUUGGGGAUAACCUUGCGAAAGUAAGACUAAUACCCAAUGAUAUCUCUAGAAGACAUCUGAAAGAGAUUAAAGAUUUAUCGGUGAUGGAUGGGGAUGCGUCUGAUUAGCUUGUUGGCGGGGUAACGGCCCACCAAGGCAACGAUCAGUAGGGGUUCUGAGAGGAAGGUCCCCCACAUUGGAACUGAGACACGGUCCAAACUCCUACGGGAGGCAGCAGUGAGGAAUAUUGGUCAAUGGACGAGAGUCUGAACCAGCCAAGUAGCGUGCAGGAAGACGGCCCUAUGGGUUGUAAACUGCUUUUAUAAGGGAAUAAAGUGAGUCUCGUGAGACUUUUUGCAUGUACCUUAUGAAUAAGGACCGGCUAAUUCCGUG